AUGCUCGAUGAGCAGGAAGCCCCCCAAGUGACCAUAAUAAGAAAAGCAAAGGUAGUGCCCGAUAGAUGUAUUGACCUUGGUCUUCAUGUAGCAUCAAUCAAGUCUGGAAUCCAGGCAUGGACCCUUGCAGAUAAGACUAGAAGCGGAGAUCGCUACGGCGGCUCAGCGCAGACGGCGGAUAAUCAAGCUGAUGAUGAGUGCGUCCAAAAUAGCAGCGACUUGAAGAGGCAAAGGGUGAACCAGGGUAGUGGCGGCUUGGAAGACGGCGGCUCACGGACAGCCAUAGCAAGGGUGGCAACUUGA
rnacentral:rRNA from 1 species